rnacentral:lncRNA from 1 species
CGCUCCAAAGCUCGGGGAGUGGUGGUCUCCCUUUCCUGGAGUCAUUUGUGGGAGUUAGGGUCUUAUCCUGAUCUUUCCUCGUCCCCCGCUCCCCCGUCCUCCGAGGUGGCAGCUGCGUAGGUGAACGUUCCCCCUGUCCCCUUCCUUCUCCUUCCUAACCCGAGUACGCUUGCUCGCGGCCACAGUGGCUGCCUGCCCCAGGAGCGGGGAGUCCCUGCCUUUGGGGUAGGGAAAUGACUGAAAUGUGGGACCUGCGGGCUCCUCGGGCUGACUUGGACCUCACUGCAGCUCUGGAGGUGGACCUCGUCCUGGGACCCUAGAAGCCCAUUUCCGCACUCGGGCUAGGCCUUCGGAGCCGCGGCAGCAUAGUGGGAGGAGUCGGGCUCAGCUCCCCCCCACCACAACCGGGAUUAUUUUUAUCGUCUGGAACGUUUUUUCUUAGAGUUCCAGAAUUGAGACUGAAGUGUACCCAGAGACACAAAGAAAUACAGAAGUCCAGAAUGAUCAAAUGAGAUCACUACCCAAUGAAAUGAUGGGCCGAGGAGCCAGAAGUUGUCCUACUACCUGCUUUCCAGGUCCAGAUUCCACGAGAGCCUUCUGGGCUCCCACCAGAGACCCUCAGUGAAGACUCUGUUGAAGACUUUAAGACCAUGCUAGAAAGCCUCCCGGCAGAGGUUCAGGAAGUUCUGCUAUGAGGAUGCAGCUGGCCCCAGGGAUGUCCUCAGGCAUCUCUAGGACCUUGCUGGACGGUGGUGGCUGAGACCUGAUAUCCACACAAAGGAGCAGACUGUGGAAAUGCUGGUGCAGGAGCAAUUCCAGGCUGUCCUGCCCGAGGAGCUCAGAGCUCAAGCACAGAGAUGUCAGCCUGGAAUCAGAAUCACUGGCUAAGUCUUGCUGCUUGCUUCUUGCUCAGCCUGCAUAUGAGAAGUCAACCAAGCAUUCUCUUGGAUGCAAGAUCCAACUGCACCCAUGGGAAAUCUGAACUUCCACUUUCUUUGAGCUUGUCUUUGGUUGUAAUAAGAAUCCAUCAAAACCCAUGUCUGGAUCUCUCUUUGGCUGAGGCAGCUUUAUUUCCUACAGAAAGAGUUUCUCUGUCCUCUUGUUAGGACAAUCAGCCUGCUGCUUUGGGCUUUUCCAAGAGCCUAUUUUUCAUCUGCUGGAUGCCUCUUUUUUUUUUUUUUUUUUUUUUUGCACUGUGUGACAUGCUUUAAUAUAUAUAUUUUUUAUGUAUCCAAAGAGGUAAUCAACUUUAACUUUCAGAAUUCAUGAAUCUUGGUUUGGUGGCAUGAAUGAAAGGUUAUGUAACCCCACCAGUAACUCAUUUGGGGUGCCCUUGAAAUAUUAAAGUUUGGUCCUCAAUAAA